rnacentral:snoRNA from 1 species
GAGCUUAAAAGAAACCUACUGCCUUGGCUUUGACUCUGUGCUAGAGCAAUGUCUGUUCUUCUCCUCUGCAUUGAAAGGACUAUUUAUCCUUUUAAAUGUAUUCAGAAAGUCAGCACAUUA